GUGGCGACGGGUGAGUAAAGCAUCGGAACGUGCCCGGUAGUGCGGGAUAGCUCGGCGAAAGCCGGAUUAAUACCGCAUGAGAUCCAAGGAUGAAAGCAGGGGACCCUUCGGGGCCUUGCGCUACUGGAGCGGCUGAUGUCAGAUUAGGUAGUUGGUGAGGUAAAGGCUCACCAAGCCUGCGAUCUGUAGCUGGUCUGAGAGGAUGAUCAGCCACAUCGGGACUGAGACACGGCCCGAACUCCUACGGGAGGCAGCAGUGGGGAAUUUUGGACAAUGGGGGAAACCCUGAUCCAGCCAUGCCGCGUGCAGGAUGAAGGCCCUCGGGUUGUAAACUGCUUUUGUACGGAACGAAAGGCCUCUUUCCAAUACAGAGAGGACAUGACGGUACCGUAAGAAUAAGCACCGGCUAACUACGUGCCAGCA
rnacentral:rRNA from 1 species